rnacentral:rRNA from 1 species
GACGAACGCUGGCGGCGUGCUUAACACAUGCAAGUCGAACGGAAAGGCCCUGCUUUUGUGGGUUGCUCGAGUUGCGAACGGGUGAGUAACACGUUAUUAACCUUCCCUUUACUUUGGGAUAACUUCAGGAAACUGGGGCUAAUACCGGAUAGGAGCUCCUGCUGCAUUGUGGGGGCUGGAAAGUUUCGGCGGUUGGGGAUGGACUCGCGGCUCAUCAGCUUGUUUGUGGGGUAGUGGCUUACCAAGUCUUUGACGGGUAGCCGGCCUGAGAGGGUGACCGGCUACCUUGGGACUGAGAUACGGCGCAGCCUGCUACGGGAGGCAGCAGUGGGGAAUAUUGCACAAUGGGCGGAAGCCUGAUGCAGCAAUGCCGCGUGCGGGAUGACGGCCUUCGGGUUGUAAACCGCUUUCGCCUGUGACGAAGUGUGAGUGACGGUAAUGGGUAAAGAAGCACCGGCUAACUACGUG